GCCAAGUGUUGAUUCUGACAUUCCCUUUCUUCAGAAGACUGCUGAAGGCAAUGGCCUGAAAAAGCAUUUCUAAAGUUCUAUUCAAGCUCGAUUCUGAUGAAACAAAACCUCUCAGAAAAUCUGCCAUGAUCAUGAGGAUGCAUACUGAAAGAACAUGUGGUAUAUAGACCAGCUCUGCUGCAAUAUGAGGAACAGAUGCUGGCAAGCUCUUAUCCUGACAAAAAGAGGGUCAAACUUCAGGGAUUAGUCAUGUAAAGAUGA
rnacentral:lncRNA from 1 species